ACUUCCUGGGAGUAAUGGUCAAACCAGCAGAUGUGCUUGUACAAGAGAUGGAUUUGGUGUCUUCAUUCACUGAAAAGACUCCCCCAACUCCCAACAGAUCAAGACUGGGACCAGCACCUCAACCAAAGGAUAUUGUAAUUGCAGCAAUCAAGUCUCAUCACUGUAUCCACAGGUGGUGGUAUCUUUCUACUCCUAUCCCUCCUUUCUCUUUCUUUCUUUUCCUUAUAUAUGUUCUUGGGUGAUAUUGUUAUUCUUUUAGAUUGCUAUGUUAGUAUAGAUAAUGACCAAAAUGGCUACAUGCCUCUUUUCCAUUGCAACCAAAUUGUUCUAAAAUAAACUGCCCCCCCAUAUAUAUAA